AACGAACGCUGGCGGCAUGCCUAACACAUGCAAGUCGAACGAUCCCUUCGGGGAUAGUGGCGCACGGGUGCGUAACGCGUGGGAACCUGCCCUUAGGUUCGGAAUAACUCAGAGAAAUUUGAGCUAAUACCGGAUAAUGUCUUCGGACCAAAGAUUUUUCGCCUUUGGAUGGGCCCGCGUUGGAUUAGCUAGUUGGUGGGGUAAAGGCCUACCAAGGCGACGAUCCAUAGCUGGUCUGAGAGGAUGAUCAGCCACACUGGGACUGAGACACGGCCCAGACUCCUACGGGAGGCAGCAGUGGGGAAUAUUGGACAAUGGGCGAAAGCCUGAUCCAGCAAUGCCGCGUGAGUGAUGAAGGCCUUAGGGUUGUAAAGCUCUUUUACCCGGGAUGAUAAUGACAGUACCGGGAGAAUAAGCCCCGGCUAACUCCGUG
rnacentral:rRNA from 1 species